AUUGAACGCUGGCGGCAGGCUUAACACAUGCAAGUCGAGCGGAGAUGAGGUGCUUGCACCUUAUCUUAGCGGCGGACGGGUGAGUAAUGCUUAGGAAUCUGCCUAUUAGUGGGGGACAACAUUCCGAAAGGAAUGCUAAUACCGCAUACGUCCUACGGGAGAAAGCAGGGGAUCUUCGGACCUUGCGCUAAUAGAUGAGCCUAAGUCGGAUUAGCUAGUUGGUGGGGUAAAGGCCUACCAAGGCGACGAUCUGUAGCGGGUCUGAGAGGAUGAUCCGCCACACUGGGACUGAGACACGGCCCAGACUCCCACGGGAGGCAGCAGUGGGGAAUAUUGGACAAUGGGGGAAACCCUGAUCCAGCCAUGCCGCGUGUGUGGAGAAGGCCUUAUGGUUGUAAAGCACUUUCAGUAGGGAGGAAGCGUUGUGUGUUAAUAGUACACAGCGUUGACGUUACCUACAGAAGAAGCACCGGCUAACUCUGUGCCAGCAGCCGCCGUAAUAC
rnacentral:rRNA from 1 species